rnacentral:lncRNA from 10 species
CAAGUAUUCAUACUGUCAACAUGACCUGUUACUAUUAAUAACCAUGAUCUUCUGUUAACCUUGAUCAUCUGGCCAACGUAAUGUUUUCCAGAUUUCUCCAUUGGAAAGUUACUCUUUUUCCCACUUUGCCUGUAAUACCCUUUGGAAGGAAGUCACUAUGCAAAACCCACACUUAAGAGUUAAACCUGUGUAAUUGUUAAGUCGCGGUGACAACAAGGACUGCAUCCGUCUCGUGUGUCAUUUGUAUCCCUCGUGCACAACGUUGCCUCAAACAAACUAAGCAUUCCAUAAAUACUGGUUAAAUGGAGAAGUGGAUCGAUUAUUUCAUGCACAAACCAAAAAUGGAGAAAAUCACUAACACGAUCUCUGGAGGGUUUGGUGCAAGUUUAGCUAGUGACAGGACCAGAGCCAGGACCCAUGUGACUCCUCCUCGGGUGCUCUUUCCACUGACUUUCUUGGGCUAUUUGCUUUAUUAAUGCCUUUCUUCCAAUCAUCACUUAAACAAAGACAAGUGAAAAGAAGUCUGACUUUAGCUGACAAUGGCAGAAAUCAUCACUCUGCUGAAUAACUAACAUAAACAUCAACUUCCUACAUUAGCACUUCAGGACAUCAGCUCAAAUAGCUCCAUCCCUUCUUUCCCUGCUAUUGUGUCCCUUAUUAGAAUAAUAAACUGAAGCUCAUAUCUCCU